GUGAGGGUGUAUGUGGGUAUUUAAGCCCUAAGGGCAUUUUGGUCAUUUGACCCCUAAUUACUAUGUUUGGAAAAUAUGAUUUUUGAGGAAAUGAAAUGUUAAUUUCUGGUGGCUUUCCCCUCUCAACCGAACCCUCUCAUCCUCUCUAACCCUCUUCUUCUUCAAACUUGAUUUUUGAGAAGAAAGCUUGAUUUUUAGCUUGGUUUGGAAGCUUGAUUUGUGUUGGAAGCUUGGAGCUUGUUUGAGCAAGAGAUUGAGGAAAGGGUAGGACUUAUGCUGAUCAGCCAUGAGUGCAGGAGCUGGACAAAGAAUGUACAUGUCCGGGCCAUAUCAGACCAAGCGGGUUAAGGGUCUAUCAGUGAUGAACUUUUGAAUUCUAUUUUGCCGUUUAGGUCGGCUAGAAAUAAAUGACUUGUAAUAGCAUUUGUAAAUAUUUUUGGGAUCCCAACUAUUUUAAAAGUUUAAAUAUAUUACAAGUUUAUUUUCA